GACGAACGCUGGCGGCGUGCCUAAUACAUGCAAGUAGAACGCUGAAGCGAGGAGCUUGCUCUUCUUGGAUGAGUUGCGAACGGGUGAGUAACGCGUAGGUAACCUGCCUUGUAGCGGGGGAUAACUAUUGGAAACGAUAGCUAAUACCGCAUAACAAUGGAUGACACAUGUCAUUUAUUUGAAAGGGGCAAUUGCUCCACUACAAGAUGGACCUGCGUUGUAUUAGCUAGUAGGUGAGGUAAUGGCUCACCUAGGCGACGAUACAUAGCCGACCUGAGAGGGUGAUCGGCCACACUGGGACUGAGACACGGCCCAGACUCCUACGGGAGGCAGCAGUAGGGAAUCUUCGGCAAUGGGGGCAACCCUGACCGAGCAACGCCGCGUGAGUGAAGAAGGUUUUCGGAUCGCAAAGCUCUGUUGUAAGUCAAGAACGGGUGUGAGAGUGGAAAGUUCACACUGUGACGGUAGCUUACCAGAAAGGGACGGCUAACUACGUG
rnacentral:rRNA from 1 species